rnacentral:rRNA from 1 species
UACGGAAUGUGCAAACGUUAUUCGGAAUCACUGGGCUUAAAGAGUCCGUAGGCGGCAUGUUAGGUGAGGUGUGAAAUCCCUCGGCUCAACUGAGGAACUGCCUUUGAAACUGUCGGGCUUGAGUCUGGUAGAGGUCGAUGGAAUUCCGGGUGUAGCGGUGGAAUGCGUAGAGAUCCGGAAGAACACCGGUGGCGAAGGCGGUCGACUGGGCCAGUACUGACGCUGAGGCGCGACAGCGUGGGGAGCAAACAGG